GACCAUAAAACUGCUCAUGUAUUAUAAGAAGAAAUUUGAAAAACCCUCCAACACAAAAGUUAUUCAUCACAUCGAAUCUCCAACAUUUUAUAGUAGAGUAGACGAUCUAUCACAGUGUAUCAUUCAAGUUUCACACAAACAUAAAUAGAAGCUUCUAAAUUCAUAAGCAUACAAUAAGAUAAGAAAUACCAUUUUAAUUUUUUCUCAUUUAUUGUCUAGAUUAGAUAGGCCACUCCGUCCAGUGCCCACAGUGAGGGCAUUUUUACUUGAAAAAAGCUAGUACUCUUCCAUGCUUGCACUUCUCACAAAUAGAUGGGCCAUCUGUGCCGGCUAAUAGCCGUAAUGCAGCCAUUCCCGCACCCGCUCUAGCACCACCACCAUCACCGGCCCCGGCGGGCCCCGCUCCCCCGGUGGCCCCCGCUCCCCCGGCGGCCCCCGCUCCCCUUGCGGCCCUCGCUCCCCCUGUGGCCCCCGCCAUCGGAUACAGCAAAAAAGGAAACCACAAAGCAUGACGGCAGCAAUGACUAAACCAACAAUAACCCAAGUUGGAGGGUUAUUGUCAUCGCAUGAUACGCAAUUCGGCUCGAUCCAUGUUGAUGGAGGAGGAUCGAUCCAUGCU
rnacentral:lncRNA from 1 species